rnacentral:lncRNA from 1 species
UCCACUACCAUAGACGUCCCUCCUCCAGCUCCCACAGAGUAGGAGUGUAUCUGGACUGGUCAGCCGGCACUCUGUCCUUCUAUAGAGCCUCCUCUGACACACUGACCCACCUGAUCACAUUCACCUCCACAUUCACUGAGCCCCUCUAUCCAGGGUUUGGGGUUGAUUAUGAAUCCUCAGUGUCCCUGAAAUAAUAACUGGACACACACACACACACACACACACACACACACACACACACACACACACACACACACACACACACACACACACACACACACACACACACUGGACACAGACACACACACACACACAAACUGGACACACGCACACACUGGACACAGACACACACACACACUGGACACAGACACACACACACACUGGACACACACACACACACACACAGGACACACACACACACACCAACACACUGGACACACACACACACACUGGACACACACACACACUGAACAUACACACAGGACACACACACACACACUGGAUAUACACACACUCAACACACACACACACACACUGGAAACAAAUUGGACACACACACACUGGACACAAAAUGCACACACACUCACAGACAUUCUGGACACACACACACACACACUGGACACAAACUGGACACACACAUAAACAUACACUCAACACACACACACACUGAACACACACACAAACACUGGGCACAUACUCACACACACACACACACACACACACUCUGGACAUACACACACACACUUGACACAGACACUGGACACACACACACAUUUUGGACACACACACUCACACACACACACACAGGACACACACACACACUGGACACACACACUGGACACACACACAUACACACACACACACACUGAACACACACACACUGAACACACACACACACUGAACACACACACACACACUGAACACACACACACACUGGGCACAUACUCACACACACUGGACACACACACACUCUGGACACACACACACACACUUGACACAGACACUGGACACACACACGCACUGGACAGGUCCCCCUCUCCAUGUAAUCUGAUUCAUUAUGAUAUAGGAUCAGGUCCCCCCUCUCCAUGUAAUCUGAUUCAUUAUGAUCUAGGAUCAGGUCCCCCCCUCUCCAUGUAAUCUGAUUCAUUAUGAUCUAGGAUCAGGUCCCCCCUCUCCAUGUAAUCUGAUUCAUUAUGAUCUAGGAUCAGGUCCCCCCUCUCCAUGUAAUCUGAUUCAUUAUGAUCUAGGAUCAGGUCCCCCCUCUCCAUGUAAUCUGAUACACGUACAUACAUACAUACACACUGUAUAUAUACACGUACAUACAUACAUACACACUGUAUAUAUACACGUACAUACAUACAUACACACUGUAUAUAUAUACACGUACAUACACACUGUAUAUAUAUACACGUACAUACAUACAUACACACUGUAUAUAUAUACACGUACAUACAUACAUACACACUGUAUAUAUAUACACGUACAUACAUACAUACACACUGUAUAUAUAUACACGUACAUACAUACAUACACACUGUAUAUAUAUACAUACACGUACAUACAUACAUACACACUGUAUAUAUAUACAUACACGUACAUACAUACAUACACGUACAUACAUACAUACACACUGUAUAUAUAUACAUACACGUACAUACAUACAUACACACUGUAUAUAUAUACAUACACGUACAUACAUACAUACAUACACACUGUAUAUAUAUACAUACGUGUACAUACAUACAUACAUACACACUGUAUAUAUAUACAUACAUACGUGGAGUGUAUCUCUGUGCACAAACAGAGUAAUGAGACCCUACUGUAAAUCAGCCAGACAGUAACACAUUAUAAACAUCGAUUUGUUUGGGAUGUUGGAUCCAACGUGGAGCACGGCAUAACUGUCUUUACCAGAGUAAUGAAUGAAGAAGCACUUUGGUUGUUGUUGCAUGUCGUGAUGUUUGUCAUGUGACUGUCAUUCAGAAAAUGAUUUCGUGGAUCAGCUGAUGAUAGUUGAACAUGUGACUGUAAAUAAAC